GAAAACAAAAAUAUCUUUAGUCAAUUUAAAGACGAGAACGAAAUGGACAAAAACAAUGUCACUAUACAAGGUAAGAAUGAUAAAAGGUCAGGUCAAUAUGGCUAUGUUGGCAGUCACCUAUCGCAAAUCCCAUAAGAACAGUCAGAUACGAGGACUCCAAUGAGGAGUACAAGAAAUGUAUUGCAUCAAAUAAUUCAACUAAAGGCUUAUAUUGUUCAACUGAACGCAAAUUCUAUCACGACUGAACUACAAAGACUUCUUAAAGACAUAGGCUUCACUUGUAUGUCAAAAAGUACAAACUCAAAAGGCAAAAUAAUAAAGAUGAUGUUUCUCACCGAGAUAAGAUGCUGCAGAUUUCUUUUUUCUUUCAGCAGAAAAUGAAUUGACUAUUCCUUUCUAAAGAUCUUUCUCUAACACUAAAUGCUGGCUUGCAAAUAUGAAUCUUGGUGCCUGUUUUAGAUGCAUUAAUACAAGCUAAAUCCAAAAAACUGGCUAAUGAUAAUGGCCAGGCCAAGAGCAAUUGCAAUGAAAGAAGAAAUCCAAGUGAGUUUUUCAGUAAUUCUUGGUACUCGAUCCUUUAAUGCCUGACUACAUGAGCCUAUAAAUACUGUAUAGCUUCCCAUUGCAACAACAGUCCCCAAUAGGAACAUGAUGAGAAAUGCAGCACCAGCCAAGCGUGAAGGCAAUGCAAGUGCAGGCAAGACCAUCAUCAAUGCAUCUGGUUGCAGCCCAUGGACAAUCCCAGUGGCAAAAGUAGCAAAACCUAUCUUCUUCUUCUUAUCCACCGUUGGGCUUUCUAGUGCUUCAUAAACGCUAACAUCACACUCACCAUUUUCAAGGGCAACACACGGGGUUGGGACUUCUGAAGCUUCCCUAAUUCCCAUAGCACCAAUAACAAGUAGUGUAAAACCAACUACUCUUGUGCCCCAAGUUCUGAUAAUCUCAAUGCGGAGUCGAUCCUUUAGCAAUAGAAACAGCAAGCCAAAUAUAACCUGACCAGCAUCAUGACCACAGCCCCAUAGAGCUCCAACAACAGCACUUUCCAUCCUGGAACGACCAAUUGAUAGUGGAGCCAAAGCAGCAAGGUGGUCUGGUCCUGACAGUGUAUGUAAGCAACCAGCAAAGAAACCAGUCCAAGCACUACUUAGUAAUUCAGUACGCAAUAGUUUUGACCCUACUGCAGUAGGAGCAGCAGGACCCCCAUUCUUGACAGCAGUUUGGAAGGUUGCGAAAGCUGGUGAAGCAAAAACUGGGUGGAUUAAGAACAUUAUGAUAGAUGAGAGUGCUAUAAACGUCCCAAGACAAACUGCCUUUUGUUGCACAGAAUCUCCUUUUGCGAUCUGUUGGGGGAAAUGGGAUUUUGGAAUUGACCCAGUUGGCGAGUGAACCGGGGGAGGAGAUAGAGAGAGCAGUGUAAUUGAAGGGGUUGAUGGGUUCUCAUAUUUGCAGGAGACUAAGUUGAGUCGCCUAAACUCAGGGCGUUGUAGAGAGGGAAAACCGAGUUUGGGCGAGUCAAAUCGUCGAAGUGAAGGGAGAAAUGGAGUGGAUUUAAGGUGGAAUUUGAGGUUAGGAGAAGAAGAGUAUAGAAGCCUUUCCAUGGCCUUUCUCCGUCUCUCUCUAAGUGUUUGUAAAACUGAGAGAGAGGGACAGAGAGAGAGGUAGAGAGAGGAGAUGGGGUCGCUGAGGAUGAUGAUAAGGAAGAUGGAA
rnacentral:misc_RNA from 1 species